rnacentral:rRNA from 1 species
GUGUCAGCCGCCGCGGUAAUACGUAGGGUGCAAGCGUUAAUCGGAAUUACUGGGCGUAAAGCGUGCGCAGGCGGUUAUAUAAGUCAGAUGUGAAAUCCCCGGGCUCAACCUGGGCACUGCAUUUGAGACUGUAUGGCUAGAGUGUGUCAGAGGGGGGUAGAAUUCCACGUGUAGCAGUGAAAUGCGUAGAUAUGUGGAGGAAUACCGAUGGCGAAGGCAGCCCCCUGGGAUAACACUGACGCUCAUGCACGAAAGCGUGGGGAGCAAACAGGAUUAGAUACCCCAGUAGUCC